rnacentral:rRNA from 1 species
UACGGGGGGGGGCAAGCGUUGUUCGGAAUUACUGGGCGUAAAGGGUUCGUAGGUGGCCUGCUAAGUCAGACGUGAAAUCCCUCAGCUUAACUGGGGAACUGCGUCUGAUACUGGUGGGCUUGAGUGCAGGAGAGGAUGGUGGAAUUCCCAGUGUAGAGGUGAAAUUCGUAGAUAUUGGGAAGAACACCGAUGGCGAAGGCAGCCAUCUGGACCGACACUGACGCUGAGGCGCGAAAGCGUGGGGAGCGAACAGG